rnacentral:rRNA from 1 species
AAGGAAUAUUGCUCAAUGGGAGAAAUCCUGAAGCAGCAACGCCGCGUGGAGGAUGAAGGGUCUAUGACUUGUAAACUCCUGUAAAGAAGGAAAAAAUUCCCAUUAGAUGGGAGAUGAUGGUACUUCUGGAGUAAGCCCCGGCUAACUACGUGCCAGCAGCCGCGGUAAUACGUAGGGGGCAAGCGUUGUCCGGAUUUACUGGGUGUAAAGGGUGCUCAGGCGGAUUUGUAAGUCAGAGGUGAAAUCUUACAGCUUAACUGUGAAACUGCCUUUGAUACUGCAAGCCUAGAGUAUGGAAGAGAGUGAUGGAAUAUCUGGUGUAGCAGUGAAAUGCGUAGAUAUCAGAUAGAACACCAAUGGCGAAGGCAGUCACUUGGUCCAUUACUGACGCUAAAGCACGAAAGCGUGGGUAGCAAAC